rnacentral:rRNA from 1 species
CACGUAGGGCGCGAGCGUUGUCCGGAAUUAUUGGGCGUAAAGAGCUCGUAGGCGGCCUGUUGCGUCCGCUGUGAAAGCCCGGGGCUUAACCCCGGGUCUGCAGUGGAUACGGGCAGGCUAGAGGUAGGUAGGGGAGAAUGGAAUUCCCGGUGUAGCGGUGAAAUGCGCAGAUAUCGGGAGGAACACCGGUGGCGAAGGCGGUUCUCUGGGCCUUACCUGACGCUGAGGAGCGAAAGCUGGGGGAGCGAACGGG